GAUGAAGAACGCAGCGAAAUGCGAUAAGUAAUGCGAAUUGCAGAAUUCAGUGAGUCAUCGAAUCUUUGAACGCACAUUGCGCCCCCUGGCAUUCCGGGGGGCAUGCCUGUCCGAGCGUCAUUUCUGCCCUCCAGCCCGGCUGGGUGUUGGGCGCUGUCCCCCCGGGGACACGCCCCAAAGGCAGUGGCGGCGCCGCGUCGGGUCCUCGAGCGUAUGGGGCUUUGUCACCCGCUCGGGACGGACUCGUCGGCGCUGGUCUUCCUCCAGGCGACCCUUCGGGGCUCGUCUUCCUUCGGUUGACCUCGGAUCAGGUAGGGUUACCCGCUGAACUUAAGCAUAUCAAUAAGCGGAGGA
rnacentral:misc_RNA from 1 species